rnacentral:misc_RNA from 1 species
AUAACUUCUAUGAGAAGAUUAUUGAAGAGAGGCUUUGAUAAUUAUGACCAUUUUUAUUUAAUUUGAAACAAAUGGAGGAACUGCCUCCAAAUCUUAUGGUUCAUACAAUUAAUUUGCAAUCAACAAGCUUUAACAGAUGGGGCAGUCGGAGAAGAUCCCUUCGCCGCCGUCGGCCGUUCUCUCUUCCCACAAUCGCUACCGCUCCUCAACCCCAAAGCCGCCAUAAACUUUUCAUUCCACCGCCCUUUAUCUACCACCGCCGCUGCCGUCGACGACGGCCGUCCACAACCAUGCUCCGCCGGAAACCGGUGUUUCAAGCACACCUUCAUCCGGCAGGUUUUACAAACACAAGUAUUGGAAAACGUAAGAAUCUCCCGGCACCGCCUCACCGCACAUGUAGGCUUCUUCUUCUUGCUCGGAUCGCAAUCUCCCGAUUCGUGAUGCCUUUCCAAAAUCCUGGUCUCGUCGCCGCCGUCCUUUCCGGUGGUCUCGAUCGACGUCGAGCAGAUUUCGCAAACCACCACUUUUCGGCUGUUUCGAUCGGAUUUAGGACAGUCGUGGGAUUUUAAACCGCGAUGCUCCAAACAGAACACCUUUUGGCAACCGUCGCAGGUGAAGGGGAGGAAAUCGAGUUGGUGGCAAUCGGAGUGCUGGCAGUGGCGGCCGAGAUCGGGGAAAGCCUCUGUUCCUCCGGCGGCGGCCAUGGCGAUUUGUUUGUGGGAAGGUUUCGGAAUUGGAAAUGAAGGGAGAUUAGAAGUAAGGAUGAAAUUGUGGAAGAAGAUUUGGUUUGUUAGAUGAUGGUGGGGAAAGAGGGGCUUAG